UCCUGGUAAUCUUAAUCAGGGCGUUUUGUUUGAGACAAUGCAUGCAAGUGGCUAGUAUUGUGCCUAGUCAAGGCAGGUCGUUUCAGUCAAUGGUCCUGGAAUCGUUACAAUUCAUACAUCUCUCUUUGUUCAAACCCCACUUUUCAGGGAUUUUAACCCUUCUUGAUUCACUUCUGUUGUCUAGAGUCGUGUAUCUUAUGUUCUUCCUUACUAUACCAAAUGUUAUCAGAUUCCAUAUUAUCAGAUUCUAUCUUUGUUGAAGAGAAAGUAAUAAAUUGCUUCAUUGAAAGGAACUAAUGGCAAAUAAUCAUCAUCCAUUUCUGAAGCCUCUUGCUUUUGCUUCUCUCAGCUUCUUCCCAACUAGAUACAUCCAUUGAUAUAUCUCAUAUCAACCAGCUGGAACUUAGUCAUGUUCCAGCACCCAAACUGUCUUGCUUUAAGUCAGGAACUAUUUUCAGUUGUCUGUGUCUAGCAUUGAAAGCUGAUUUCAGUUAAGUGCCAUCAAAAGUUCUCACAGGCUUGAAAAGUAGAUUAUAUUACUUUGCAUUUACAGAUGGAGAUAGGAGACUUAGAUUAUUUAACUUGCCAUGAAAUAGAUACAGUAUGGUGGUUUAGAAAUAAUCCAUCACAGCACAGGCUCUGGUGCCCUCAUUGUAGUAGAUGAGUUGUCUUUUGAUAACAUUAGUAUUGAGGAACAAGCAUCCAUCCUGUCCCAAAUUAUCUCUUACACUACACUUGACUACCAUGUUUGUCUAAGUCAUAAAAUUGAGCUACUGCUUUAAACUAAACUCUUAAUAAGAGUUUAAAAUUUUGGCUAGAUACUUUAUUUUAUUUUAUUUUUCUCUAGUUAAGCUUUGAGCUGAAGGACAAACUCAGUAGCUGGGCAGCUUAUUUCUGUCUUGAUCAUGGCAAUCAACUCUGAAUGUCUAUUCUACAGCUUACCCUUUGAUUGGUAGCUCAGGCUGGUGACUGAGGUUCUCUUGCCUAUUGUUAGAUAACAACAAUUACGUAUCAGCCUACAAAUGCUUGAGCAUUAGCUGGUGAAAUGCUCCUCUUCUGUCCCUCACCUAUCUAAUUAGAUUUUCAUUGACAUGCACCUUCUUUUUGUAAUGACAUCCCCAAUGGCUGUUCUAGAGGACUUUCUUUGGCUAAGGGAGCCAACUGAUCUCUGGUGUAGGACACAGACUUUUAACGGGGAUCUGGUUCCCAUUUUUUUUUUUUUUUUUUUUUUUUUUGUCUUUUGUCUUUUUAUGGCUGUACUCACAGCAUAGGGAGGAUCCCAGGCUACGGGUCUAAUCAUAGCUGUAACCAAUGGCCUACAUCACAGCAACGUCAGAUCCAAGCCACGUCUGUGACUUACAUCACAGCUCACGGCAACGCCGGAUCCUUAACUCGCUGAGCGAGGCCAAGGAUUGAACAUGCAAUUUCAUAGUUCCUAGAUGGAUUUGUUUCUGCUGCGCCAAAACGGGAACUCUUCAGCAUCAGUUUAAAUGGUAUUGUAGUACAUUUAAGGCAUUUUACCAAGGCUCUGUCUCAAAGGAAUACAGUUCUAUUGGGGAGAUUUUAAUAAUAGCAGUGGUCCUUUGAGGAGGUCAGUUUGAAGCUGAUUCAGUUACUAUUUGCUAUAGAUGUUAAUAUGGUCUUAAUUUUGGUGCUGCUCUAUAUGAUCUUAAAGUUAACCUCUUUUCUCCUUUGCCCUUAUGAAUUUGGAGGCUUCACUGAUGUUACAUGGUAAAUAAGAAAGCCAGAAGCAAGUUGGUAGGGAAUUCUUUUCCUUGAACAUUUUGUUUUCUUGGGGACUUCUAAAUUGGUUUUAUGAUAUCUUCAGGGUAUGACGAAAUGGUAAUUUUCUAGGCAAAAUAUCUUGUGAUUUUAUGCAGAAAGUAAUUCUAUAAUUCAUUCAUUUAUUACUAUUUAGAAUUCUGUCAAAGAAUCAUAGUUCAUUUCAUUUUUCUUAUGUAAUACAUAUAAUAUAUAAUAGGUUUUAUAAAAGAAAAGCUUGUAGAAUACAAGUUAGCUUUAAAAAUAUUAUUCUUUGAGUAGAGAAAAAAUAUUGGUGGAUUUUUUUGUUGGUCUUUUCCAUAUGGAUAUAUGAGGGCUAAAUACCCCAUAAAAGUUGUCCGACUAACCCUCAAACUGGGUUGUCCUUCUCCUUUGAAGAUUCAGAGCAUAUUAAAUAUGAUCUCUCUUACUGAGACAAUUAAAGGGAUUCAUCCACAAAUGUGACUCUGGGUUGCUUAAAUGGAUUUUUAAAAUGUUGUGUUUAGAACCCCAGUGGCUCUCUGGCAUGGUGCUUAUAAAUUAAGUUGCUUUCCUGCUAAAACGUAUAUUUCAGUUAUGUGGUCUUUCAAAGAUUAAAAAAAACAUUGCUCUUUUAUUCCUACACUUAAAAAAAGUAAAAAUGUAUGCCCCGUGCAAUAUGAAAGUUAAUAGGUUUUGAGAUAGCAUUUCAAAAUACAAUGCCUUUUCCCAGGGCAAAUGUAUGGAAUGCUUCCCAGGACUUUUUGUACCCUUUGAGAUUCAAAUGCAAGAUGAUUUCCCUGCCCCCAUCAUCCUAUUUAGUUUGCUGCAAUUAUUUAUGUGUGGUAAAAGUACCAGUUCAUGAAGUACAUUCACUUUUUAAAGUAUAUAAAUAGGUAUCUAUUUACUCCAAAAUAUGCUAUGAGCAAAAUUACGUGAGAACAUUUCCAAAGAUGAUUAAAUCCAAAAUUACAUAUAAGUUUUGGAAAGGAUAACUUUAAAUAAAUGAUAAAGUAUUUAAAAUCCUCAGGGAAUAUUUGUAUAAUAUUUGCACAUUGAAAAUGGGAAAUUGGCUGCCUAGUCUUUAAAAAGUUUUGGUUUCAUCUGGUCCUUAUAUCAGCCAUGAAUAUAUGAAAUCUUAGAACAGUAUCCCAACUCCAGUUAGUGAAUAUUAACAAUGUUAAUAAAUGCUGAAUAGUAAGAUUUUAUUGUGUAUAAUGACAGUCAUAUGAAUUUUAAAAAUACUGUUUUCACCAAGAGGGAAAAAUUAUGUAUCUGUGCAAAUACAGUAUUAUAGAAUCGUAUCCCAAAGAAAAGUUGUGUUUUUAAGUUUUCAGUUGUCAACUUCUUAUGGCACAUAUCGAGCCUUUUAAAUGAUACACAUUUUCUGUAACAGAAGCUUAUCACAUGUGUCACCUGUGCACAAUCAUGGACAUAAUAAGGAAGCUCUACAUGGCUCAGUGGGAAUAAACCAAGAAAAUUUCUCUCGAUAAAACCAUUGAUAAUUAAGACAUGAACAGAUGGACCCUCCAACCAUGAUCCUGUAGAGGACAUCACCAAAGAGUUAAUGUCUAGGAAAAUACUUCUCUCUGGGACAAUAUUUACAGUUCACCCCUCUUACUUAGCAAUUUACUCCUAAGUGCUGAAUUUAUAUCUUGUUAUCUUUGAAUCUGUCUGUUGUUUGGGCUUCUUACUCUAAAAGAGUCCUCAGCAUUGUCCUUGUCUUGAUCCCCACAUACCACUUACUCCUUUAAUCUUAGAGUUGCCGGCCACAGAUCUCCCUCUUGGCAAAGAUCUUGCUCCAUUGAGUCUCAUAUUUAACUCUUAUAUGCCCAACAUCAAUGCCUCUGUUUAUCCUACUUCAGUCUGCUCUGAUCUGGGCUUAGCAAAACUGUUAUUAGAAACUCAAAGGAACUGAUGUGUCAGAAGCAAUGUGCUAAAAUAAUAGCCAUGAUGAAUUUCAGGUCUCAGGACUGGAUUUAUGCUAGACUAUGAUUCAAAUACUCAUUUUCUCAAUGUUCUAGUGUUGAGAAUACAUAGAAUUAAAGUGAAUAUAAGUGCACAUUUUGCACUCAACAAGCUUUUAAUAGUGAGAAAGACAUAAAUAAGCAACUGGUGAAUACUGGAAAACAGAUUUCAGGGGAGAGGGGAAAUUUUGAGUUCAGGUUAAACUCUGUUUAAGGUUAUCUGGGAGGCCAUGCGUAAGGUAUUGUGACUCAUAGGUACUCAACAUCAUGGAGUUGAUUGGAUCAGAAAUUUGGGUAGUCAUUUACCUCAUGUGUGUUGUAGUUUAAAUCACUGGAGUUAAAAAAAAUCACUCGAUGUUGAUGUGUAACG
rnacentral:lncRNA from 1 species